AGUGAACGCUGGCGGCAGGCCUAACACAUGCAAGUCGAACGGCAGCACAGCAGUAGCAAUACUGUGGGUGGCGAGUGGCGGACGGGUGAGGAAUACAUGGGAAUCUACCCUGUCGUGGGGGAGUAACGUAGGGAAACGUUAACGCUAAUACCGCAUACGACCGAGAGGUGAAAGCGGCGGACCGCAAGGCGUCGCGCGACUGGAUGAGCCCACUGUCGGAUUA
rnacentral:rRNA from 1 species